UUUAGUUUGAUUUUCUGGCUCAGGACGAACGCGGGCGGCGUGCCUAAUACAUGCAAGUCGAGCGGACAGAUGGGAGCUUGCUCCCUGAUGUUAGCGGCGGACGGGUGAGUAACACGUGGGUAACCUGCCUGUAAGACUGGGAUAACUCCGGGAAACCGGGGCUAAUACCGGAUGCUUGUUUGAACCGCAUGGUUCAAACAUAAAAGGUGGCUUCGGCUACCACUUACAGAUGGACCCGCGGCGCAUUAGCUAGUUGGUGAGGUAAUGGCUCACCAAGGCAACGAUGCGUAGCCGACCUGAGAGGGUGAUCGGCCACACUGGGACUGAGACACGGCCCAGACUCCUACGGGAGGCAGCAGUAGGGAAUCUUCCGCAAUGGACGAAAGUCUGACGGAGCAACGCCGCGUGAGUGAUGAAGGUUUUCGGAUCGUAAAGCUCUGUUGUUAGGGAAGAACAAGUACCGUUCGAAUAGGGCGGUAACCUUGACGGAACCUAACCA
rnacentral:rRNA from 1 species